CGGUGUUUAUUACGAAGAGGGUCCACCCGUUCCCAUUCCGAACACGGUAGUUAAGCUCUUCAGUGCCGAAAAUACUUGGCGGGCAGCCGCCCGGGAUGGCGGGCAGCCGCCCGGGAAAAUAGGUCGACGCUG
rnacentral:rRNA from 1 species